GAUGAAGAACGUAGCAAAAUGCGAUAAGUAAUGUGAAUUGCAGAAUUCAGUGAAUCAUCGAAUCUUUGAACGCACAUUGCGCCCGCUGGUAUUCCGGCGGGCAUGCCUGUUCGAGCGUCAUUUCAACCCUCAAACCCCCCGGGUUUGGUGUUGGGGAUCGGCUCUGCCUCACGGCGGUGCCGCCCCCGAAAUACAUUGGCGGUCUCGCUGCAGCCUCCAUUGCGUAGUAGCUAACACCUCGCAACUGGAACGCGGCGCGGCCAUGCCGUAAAACCCCAACUUCUGAAUGUUGAGCUCGGAUCAGGUAGGAAUACCCGCUGAACUUAAGCAUAUCAAUAAGCGGAGGA
rnacentral:misc_RNA from 1 species